AUGAACGCUAGCGACAGGCUUAACACAUGCAAGUCGAGGGGCAGCACAGGUAGCAAUACCGGGUGGCGACCGGCGCACGGGUGAGUAACGCGUAUGCAACUUGCCUAUCAGAGGGGGAUAACCCGGCGAAAGUCGGACUAAUACCGCAUGAAGCAGGGGCCCCGCAUGGGGAUAUUUGCUAAAGAUUCAUCGCUGAUAGAUAGGCAUGCGUUCCAUUAGGCAGUUGGCGGGGUAACGGCCCACCAAACCGACGAUGGAUAGGGGUUCUGAGAGGAAGGUCCCCCACAUUGGUACUGAGACACGGACCAAACUCCUACGGGAGGCAGCAGUGAGGAAUAUUGGUCAAUGGGCGCGAGCCUGAACCAGCCAAGUCGCGUGAGGGAUGAAGGUUCUAUGGAUCGUAAACCUCUUUUAUAAGGGAAUAAAGUGCGGGACGUGUCCCGUUUUGUAUGUACCUUAUGAAUAAGGAUCGGCUAACUCCGUGCCAGCAGCCGCGGUAAUACGGAGGAUCCGAGCGUUAUCCGGAUUUAUUGGGUUUAAAGGGUGCGUAGGCGGCCUUUUAAGUCAGCGGUGAAAGUCUGUGGCUCAACCAUAGAAUUGCCGUUGAAACUGGGAGGCUUGAGUAUGUUUGAGGCAGGCGGAAUGCGUGGUGUAGCGGUGAAAUGCUUAGAUAUCACGCAGAACCCCGAUUGCGAAGGCAGCCUGCCAAGCCAUGACUGACGCUGAUGCACGAAAGCGUGGGGAUCAAACAGGAUUAGAUACCCUGGUAGUCCACGCAGUAAACGAUGAUCACUAGCUGUUUGCGAUACAGUGUAAGCGGCACAGCGAAAGCGUUAAGUGAUCCACCUGGGGAGUACGCCGGCAACGGUGAAACUCAAAGGAAUUGACGGGGGCCCGCACAAGCGGAGGAACAUGUGGUUUAAUUCGAUGAUACGCGAGGAACCUUACCCGGGUUUGAACGCAUUCGGACCGAGGUGGAAACACCUUUUCUAGCAAUAGCCGUUUGCGAGGUGCUGCAUGGUUGUCGUCAGCUCGUGCCGUGAGGUGUCGGCUUAAGUGCCAUAACGAGCGCAACCCUUGCCACUAGUUACUAACAGGUGAUGCUGAGGACUCUGGUGGGACUGCCAGCGUAAGCUGCGAGGAAGGCGGGGAUGACGUCAAAUCAGCACGGCCCUUACAUCCGGGGCGACACACGUGUUACAAUGGCGUGGACAAAGGGAAGCCACCUGGCGACAGGGAGCGAAUCCCCAAACCACGUCUCAGUUCGGAUCGGAGUCUGCAACCCGACUCCGUGAAGCUGGAUUCGCUAGUAAUCGCGCAUCAGCCAUGGCGCGGUGAAUACGUUCCCGGGCCUUGUACACACCGCCCGUCAAGCCAUGGGAGCCGGGGGUACCUGAAGUCCGUAACCGCGAGGAUCGGCCUAGGGUAAAACUGGUGACUGGGGCU
rnacentral:rRNA from 1 species